ACCUCCGUAGCUCAACGGCUGAGCACCCGGCUCUUACCCGGGCGGUGAGGGUUCGAAUCCCUCCGGAGGUA
rnacentral:tRNA from 2 species